UUUUAAGUCCAUCUAUGAAAUAUUUUAUCUAUUGAAAAAUAAAAAAACGUUACACCAGCAGUGCAAUAGUGCACCUAUCAAAAAUCAGUUUAGUUUCUCAUUGCUUGCAUUACAGCAACUGCAGCUCUAUAACAGAAUCAUAUUGAAUAAAAUGACAAAUUGAUUGAUUUACAGAGAACAGAGGAGGAAAAAAUGCAAUGCCUUUCGCUCGAUAACAUCUCUUCCACAGAAAAAAAUUGCAUGAGGCUUUCAAGCUUGCAGUUUAUACUCAUGGUUCUCCGCAGACGAAGAAAACCUCAGAAAUUUGCAUUGUGUUAUUUAUAUUUUAUUUGAAUGAAAUUUAAAUGGCAACAGGUUAGCCUCAAAGAAUAAUAAUAAUAAUAAUGGCUAACAACCAUGCUAUAAUUUGUUACUAGAUCCCUAUGCAAUAUUCCACCUAUUCGUCUUCCACAACUAUGCAGCCAGAGAUCCUGAAAUUGCUUUCCUGUCAAGUAAUUUUGUUAAAGCACUGUCAAUUUGGGCAAACACUUCCUCUUUUGAAACACUUCCAUCGACCUUUAAUGUAACAUCUUUAUAAAUUGAAAGUACUGCCUCCACAUUUUGAUGAUGAGUGCGCAAACGCAACUUCACCUUCUCUUCAGUAUCAUCAAAACGUUGGGUGAGCCUAGCAGCAAUUUCUUCACUCUCAGGAGGAGAAUACCUCAAGUGGUAUAUCCUUCCAGUAACGGGGUCUAACCUACGUCCAACCACCCUUUCAACAAGAAGCUCUUCAGGGACUUCUAGGAGAAUGAAAAGAUCAGGCUGGAAAUCAAAUUCCAUAAAAGCUGUUGCUUGUAACAAGCUCCUAGGGUAUCCAUCCAAAAGCCAACCAUUUUCUUGAGCAUCUGGCUGCAACAAACGCUCCUUCACCAUCACGACUACAAUUUCAUUUGGGACCAGUUGGCCUUUUUCCAUGUAUUCCUUUGCUCUCUUCCCAUUUUCACUUCCUGAAGCAAUUUCAGCUCUCAACAGGUCUCCAGCCGCAACGUGCACCAAAUCAUAUUUCUUAGUGAUGAGCUCACAUUGAGUACCUUUACCAGAAGCAGGAGCUCCUGAUAUCAUUAUUUUCAAGGGUUCUGGUUUCGCUGAUGCAACAAUCAGAGCUGGACUAGAAGAUUUCGCGAGACGAGGUGAGAGCAGGGUUUGAUUGGAACGAAGAGAAAGGCAAGAAUUACUAGAAGAAAAUGACAAUUGGGAGGAGAAGAGCUUAGAGGAAUUAGCAGAGGCAGAAGAAGGCGGACAAACAGUAGCAAACGGUGGCGGGUACUGUUGGGAGUUGCCGGCCACCUUCAAAAUGACACCGCUGGAGGUGAUAGCUGCCAUAUCUAUGUCCUCCCACCGUCUAAGUACAGACUAGUGGUCGAAGAUAGACAGAGGUGAGAGUGUUUAUUUGGCUGAUUGGGAUCUUCAAUGUAUAUACA
rnacentral:misc_RNA from 1 species